rnacentral:lncRNA from 1 species
AGGCAUUCAGGCAGAGAGAGCAGAGCAGCGCAGCGCAGCUGGAGAGGCAGGAGACUCAGCCCGAGGAAUUCGCAGAUAAGUUUUUAAUUAAAAAGAUUGAGCAGUAAAAAGAAUUAGAACUCUAAACUUAAGCUAAUAGAGUAGCUUAUCGAAAUAAUACUUAGUCUUAAUAAAUUAAGAAGAUCUUAAGAGGUAACAUGAAGGCUUAUUUAAACAGUUCGAAAAAGGAAAUGAGAAGAAAAGUAUUUGUACUGUAUAAUGGAGGCUGACCAGAGCAGAUUAGGAGAUUGUAAAGGGAGGUUUUAUGGAGUUUUAAGAGGCUCAAGUUUGAAGGUCAGCCUUGUAGAUUAAAACGAAGGUUACCUAAAUAGAAUCUCAAUGGCAUUUAAAACAGUAAAGUUGUAGACAAUAGAUUGAAAAUGAGGUUAGGCUAGUAUCUGGAGAAAGAAGAUUAGAAAAUGGAAGUGAAAGACAA